rnacentral:pre_miRNA from 1 species
GUGUAGAGCAAGAUGGAGAAGCAGGGCACGUGCAUUACUAACUCAACCGCACAUACAUCUACUAACAAAAAUUAAUUAAUCCACACAUUUUGAAGAAACCAAAUCAAGAAGCAGCAUGCUCUUUCUGUUGUUAUAGCUCAGUCAUGAGUUGAGUUAUUUCUUCAUGUGCCCUUCUUCCCCAUCAUGACCGCGGCACCUUGUGUGUGUGUGUGUAUCAUCAGGGAUCAGCUCAAGAUCUG